UACGUAGGGGGCAAGCGUUGUCCGGAAUCAUUGGGCGUAAAGAGCGUGUAGGCGGCCCGGUAAGUCCGCUGUGAAAGUCCAGGGCUCAACCCUGGGAUGCCGGUGGAUACUGUCGGGCUCGAGUCCGGAAGAGGAGUGUGGAAUUCCUGGUGUAGCGGUGAAAUGCGCAGGAUAUCAGGAGGAACACCAAUGGCGAAGGCAGCACUCUGGGACGUGACUGACGGCUGAGACGCGAAAGCGUGGGGAGCAAACAGG
rnacentral:rRNA from 1 species